ACACAAAUCAACCAAGGGAUCUUGUUAAAAUACAGUUCCUGAUUUAUAGUCUGGAGCAGGACCCAAGAUUCUGCAUUUCCAACAAGCUUCCAAGUGAUCUUAAU
rnacentral:miRNA from 1 species